rnacentral:lncRNA from 10 species
GUUCAAGCAUUUGGGAAAACAAUGAGGAGGCAGCUUAUUCCCAGCUCCAGUGAAGAUCUGAUGGCUGGAAGGCAGGAGGAGACCUGCAGAGGGUGAGAUUCUCAGGGGAGGAACUGCCAGAAGCCUAAGAGCCUUUUUCCAGAGCUGCCUCCAGGAGAGAAGGUGAUCUACCUGGCUCCGGAUCAAGUCCUUUCUGCUCAGAACAAGCUUUCUGCACUUGUAGGGUGGGUGAUUUUAGAGAUUUGGAGAGUCAAUCUUUGCUUCUUUCCUUUUUUCUCUCUCUCCUUCCCAGUCCCACCCACUCUAAUCCCAGCUCCUGUUUGUCCAAGCCCCUCAAGCAAGACUCUCUUUAGUGAGUGAAAGCUGACAAUGUGAGUCUCAGCCUCCUUCCCAGGAGCAGCUAAGCUGACAGAUCCUUGAUCUUGAGAAGCCCUCGCAGCUCCCUUCUCUGACUCUCAGCCACCCCUGGAGGGAGACCCUAUUAUCGGGAGACCCUAUUAUCACCAUUUUACAAGUGAGGCUCAGGUGAUAACUUGUCCAAGGCCAGGCAGCCAGAUUGCCGGGAAGCAGGUGUUCCCAGCGCCGCUGCUUUCACCCUGUUCCACAUCUCUGGUCCUUGUGUUUAGAACCAUUCUUGAGUGGGUUUGCCAAAGGCAAAAAGCAAAACCAAGGCUUGGCUGACAGUUACUGAGGCCCUCUGAAAUGUGCAUUGGCAAUUCCAGAAACACAAGCUCAGAUCAGAUCCUUAGCAUUUAAAUGAACUUAUGUCAGGUUUGCUACAAUAUGAUCUGCUGGAACAGCUUUCUAACUCCUUAACGGGAUGAGGUAUAUUUUCCUUGGCCUAUUCUAGGCAAAGAUCAGCAACUUCAAACAAGGAGCUGUUCUUCAAAUAAAUUCCUCAUUGAUACACAUUUUUGAAGAACACUGGGAAGUAAAAACCUGGAGGACUGAAUUGUGUUGUUGG